rnacentral:rRNA from 1 species
UUGGAGGGCAAGUCUGGUGCCAGCAGCCGCGGUAAUUCCAGCUCCAAUAGCGUAUAUUAAAGUUGUUGCAGUUAAAAAGCUCGUAGUUGAAUUUCGGGGUUAGUAGGUUGGUCAUGCCACUGGUAUGUACUGGUCUCACUGAUUCCUCCUUCCUGAUGAGACGUAAUGCCAUUAAUUUGGUGUUGCGAGGAAUCUGGACUGUUACUUUGAAAAAAUUAGAGUGUUUAAAGCAGGCUAACGCUUGAAUACAUUAGCAUGGAAUAAUGAAAUAGGACGUUCGAUCUUAUUUUGUUGGUUUCUAGGAUUGACGUAAUGAUUAAUAGGGAUAGUUGGGGGCAUUAGUAUUCAAUUGUCAGAGGUGAAAUUCUUGGAUUUAUUGAAGGCUAACUACUGCGAAAGCAUUUGCCAAGGAUGUUUUCAUUAAUCAAGAACGAAAGUUAGGGGAUCGAAGACGAUCAGAUACCGUCGUAGUCCUAACCAUAAACUAUGCCGACUAGGGAUCGGAUGAUGUUAAUUUUUUAAUGACUCAUUCGGCGCCUUACGGGAAACCAAAGUGUUUGGGUUC